rfam:Lactonifactor longoviformis DSM 17459 genome assembly, contig: EJ64DRAFT_scaffold00036.36
UAACCAUUAUGGAGAGAUAAUGCUGAACGCGCAGAAGUCAGCCGAGGUCAUAGUAGCC